AGGAGACACUCUUCACUUGCAAAGCAUACAGGAGCAUCAGGGGUGGUAAAAUAGGCCAGGGUCCACAUUCCCCAAUCUACAGUCUAAGCAAAGCAACAGAAGGAAAGUUUCACAUCCCUACAGCCUGUCUGGAUACACUGGAGAGGGACCUGCGGGAAAUGCUGUAAACAGUAAGUGAUCGAUCAACAUCUAUAGAGUGCAUUUCUUUUUUACAGUUUAUGUUUUAGAAGCUCCGAAAUAAUAGCUUUAAUUUAAAUAAUGGCAAUUUCAUUUAAGAACAGAAGAGAUACAGUUCUUACAAAAUUAACAAUAUAAUAUAAAUAUAUAUACAGUUCAUAGGAGUGUUCUAGAGUUAGAACACUCCGUAAGAUAUACAAAUAAGGACAUUUCAAGUUUAUAGUUAAUAAAAGUGUCAAAUCUCAAUUUUAGGCAAGAUAUAAAUAUAUUUCCGUGGCCAUGAAUGUUUUCUUCUGCAGACUGCAUACAUAACUACUAAAUAUUUUCUGGAGUUCUACAGGGCUUCUGGUUAUCAGAUUAAUUUGGCUUAAACUCUGCAAUAAAAUUGGCAAGUGGAAAUCCAUGCCAACUUCAAAUGAAGCCUGUAGUUCUGCAUAGACUUAGCACGGAACCCUGCGGUUAUGAAGCUUAUUCUAGGCUUAAUAUUAAAGAAAAUAGCUCUACAUAAACUAAAGAUAGAACUCUGCAGAAACUUCUCAUAGAACUCUUUAGCUCUCCAUACACCAACCACUGGAGCCAACAGCUCUCCGUCCACUGAACUCUGUAAAUGGAUUCUGCAGUUCUCAAAACAAUAGACCUUGUAGUAUUCCAUAAACGUUACACUGAGAUGAAGUGUACUUAAUUAACUAAACUUUUCAAGAUCUCAUACAUGCUAAUAUAUAGCUUCUGCAUUUAUCAAUGUUGAUCUCAAAUGGUUCAAAUCACAGUAUAAUCGAUGUAGUUUACCGAGUAUAAGACAAAAUUGGAAUGAAAUGAAAACUGAAUUUUAAAAUGUAGGCAAAAGGUGUUGACUUUUGGAAAAAAUUCUCAAAACACAUUUAUGGUCAUUGCUUCAAUAUUUUUCUGUACAUUUUGCAAUUUGUAUUUGGUUCACUACUGCUCAGUGUUUAAUGAAUACAAACUUAAUGUGAUUAAGAUGGGAAAAUAGCAAAACUUUUUUUUUUAUGUUUUAGGGCUAUUUGUUACUUCAAGUCCUCAGGAAAUUUGAUUUUCUGUAUUAAAUGUUAUAGUUUGCUUAUUUAGCACAAUGAAUGGAUGAUUUAGUCUGUAUAAGUUUCUUUUUUUUAUUAUUAACUGUUCUAAUUAUAAAAUAGCCGCAAUUUAAAUAAUACCAUAAACAAGCAGAUUUCAAGUUCAACGCUGACCAAUAAAUAAAUUAAUACCAUAAAUAAAUACAUAUUAAACUUAAUCUGUUAACACAAUAAAAAUAUGUAUAUUUUUUUAGCUAAUAUAAACCAUUAAAGUCUAACAUUUUAGUAGUUAAUUUGUGAAAAAUAGAGGCUGAAAUAAUGUUUUGUUGAAGCUGUGUUGUCACAAGGAAGGCAUGAAAAUACUAACUAUUUUUACAGUCUAAUCAGUCAAAUAUAAGUUGCUAAUUUCAAAUGAACUCAAUGGGUUGUACUGAACUGCAAUUUGAGUGUAGUUCCCCAUCACCUCUAUGGAGAGCUUCCUAAUGUAAAUUGUAAUUACCAACACUCAAAUCCAGGUUUGGUGAAAUUAUAUGAGUUUCAGACCAGUUUUAAUAGCCGGAUUCUGUGGAAAGACAGUUAGUGAUAACCAUUGGUAUACAGUGUCAUACUCCCAAACCAGGGGGAUCCUACACUGUAAUCAAAAGGUUUGCCUGUACAUCGGGUAUGUAUUCAGCUGCACGUACAUAUGUAAAUGAUACAUUUAACCAUGUAAAUGAUACAUUUAAGAAGGAAAUUUAUCAAACAUUGAAACAUAGAAUGUGACGGCAGAUAAGAACCAUUCGGCCCAUUUUUGCCCAAUUUUCUAAAUACUUUCAUUAGUCCCUGGCCUUAUCUUAAAUCCAGGAUAGCCUUAUGCCUCAUGGCAAAAACAGCUGCUGUUCUGGGGCAAAUAACUAUAAAAAGGUCCAAUUACUAACGAAACCAAUAGAAUGUAUCUGAACAUUUAGCACUUUGCACCAAUGAUUACUGCUCCGAAGCCAAACAUUCUAUAUAACGAAGAAAGAACUUGGAAUCUAUAUUGUGUUUGACAACUCAUUAUCAAAUCUUUUUUUUGUGAUUUCCAGGAGUUCUGUAAACAUAGUUGUCUUAACCAGUAAUACUUGGUGACCAGUGCAUCACCCUUUGAUGAUCCAGUCCAUUUGUACGUCCAUCCAAGACAUGUGAAGCUGGCGUUACUCUCUUUGUGCCUGCAAUGCCCGUAGAGAUGCCCUGGUGGUCCUGGUUCCUCUUUUCCUUGCUGCUUUUUCCACCAAUCUCUGGAACCUCGUGCCCCAAUGGCUGUGAAUGUAC